UACGGAGGGGGUUAGCGUUGUUCGGAAUUACUGGGCGUAAAGCGCGCGUAGGCGGAUUGGAAAGUUGGGGGUGAAAUCCCGGGGCUCAACCCCGGAAUUGCCUUCAAAACUCCCAGUCUUGUGUUCGAGAGAGGUGAGUGGAAUUCCGAGUGUAGAGGUGAAAUUCGUAGAUAUUCGGAGGAACACCAGUGGCGAAGGCGGCUCACUGGUUCGAUACUGACGAUCAGGUGCGAAAGCGUGGGGAGCAAACAGG
rnacentral:rRNA from 1 species